rnacentral:rRNA from 1 species
UACGGGGGGGGCAAGCGUUACUCGGAAUUAUUGGGCGUAAAGGGCGCGUAGGCGGUCGUGUGCGUCGUUGGUGAAAUCCCCGGGCUUAACCCGGGAGCUGCCUUCGAUACGGCACGGCUUGAGUCCGGGAGAGGGGAGCAGAAUUCCCAGUGUAGCGGUGAAAUGCGUAGAUAUUGGGAGGAAUACCGGUGGCGAAGGCGGCUCCCUGGACCGGUACUGACGCUGAGGCGCGAAAGCGUGGGUAGCAAACAGG